rnacentral:rRNA from 1 species
GACGAACGCUGGCGGUGUGCUUCACACAUGCAAGUCGAACGAGGUAGCAAUACCUAGUGGCGGACGGGUGAGUAACGCGUGGGAAUCUGCCUUUAGAUGGGGGAUAACGGGUCGAAAGACUCGCUAAUACCGCAUAUGACGAAAGUUGAAAGGAGUAAUCCGUCUAAAGAUGAGCCCGCGUCCGAUUAGCUAGUUGGUAGAGUAAAAGCCUACCAAGGCGACGAUCGGUAGCUGGUCUGAGAGGAUGAUCAGCCACAAUGGGACUGAAGACACGGCCCAUACUCCUACGGGAGGCAGCAGUGGGGAAUUUUACGCAAUGGGCGAAAGACCUGACGUAGCGACACCGCGUGAGCGAAGAAGCCCCUUGGGGUGUAAAGCUCUGUCAGCUGGAACGAAAAAAAAUAGACGGUACCGAGCAGAGGAAGACAUCGGCUAACUAACGUGCCAGCAGCCGCGGUAA